rnacentral:ncRNA from 2 species
CAACGCAAGCGGGGUUCGGUGCAAUUCCGAACCGGCGGUGAAAGCCCGCGACCCGGUCGAAGCCAUCGACCGGUUGACCCGAUGGAAUUUCGGGGCCGACGGUUAAAGUCCGGAAGGGAGUUUGCGUGU